AGUUCUCUCUUGACUUUAUGCACAACAUAUUGUUGGUGUUAAUAUCGUGACCAAGUAAUUGGUGUUGCCUGAGCAACAUUUUUGAAUCUUGCAGGUUACUAUAAGAAAAAAAGAAAAAAAGGGAAAAAGGGAAAAAAAAAAGAAAAAAAAGGAAAAAAAAGGUAAAAGGGGAAAAAAGGAAAAAAAAGGAAAAAUAAAAGAAAAAAGAAGUAGAGACGAUUACUCAACUAUGCCUGUGGAGGAUGAAGAUGUUGAGCCAAGAGAAAUCAGUUUGGAAGAGAUUGAGAGCAGAUUAGGAAUUCAAGUAGAGACGAUUACUCAACUAACAGAACUUGCAUCCUCCAAAAAGAUUGCUCUUGGAGAUUCUUCAUAAGUUUGUCGAACAAUAAAGAAGGUUAUAUCACAGAUGUAAACCGUUGCUGUUGCAGCUGAAGCUAUUCAAGCACUGGGCAACCUUUAUAGGGGUCUGAAACACUUCCCAAGAAAAAAAAAAGCGUUGUUGCAGCUGAACCUGUAUAGAAGUCUGAGAACACUUCCCAAAAAAAGAAAAUAAAAAGGAAAAAAAAAGAAAAGAAAAAAGGGGAAAAAGUAAAAAAAUGGAAAAAAGAAAAAAGGAAUAAAAAAGAAAAAAAGGAAAAAAAGAGAAAAAAGUAGAGAUUAUCACUCAACUAUGCCUGUGGAGCUUGAAGAUGUUGAGCCAAGAGAAAUGAGUUUGGAAGAGAUUGAGAGCAGAUUAGGAUCUCUUAUUCAAGUAGAGACGAUUACUCAACUAAAAUGUGCGGUGUGGAAAGAGCGGCUUAAAGGGUACUUGAAUUUCUUCAAGAGCUUCUGGAUCUGUUGAGAUAUGAGGGGCUACACUAUCAGAAGUCUGGACAUAACAUUGAAAAGUUCGAGAAAAAAUGCAUGAACUGAUGAACCAAGUCAUCCAAACAUAUUCUGCUGCAACGACUAUUCCUUACAUUUUACAGGGUUUGCGAUCUAGGAACAACAGAACGAGGACCGAGUCCGCUGACCAUGUUGGAGUCUUAUUAGAUAACUAUGGAGCUGAGAGGAUUAUGGAAUUGGAAUACAUCAUUCGCCGUAAGGAUAAUCAACAUACUCAUGCUUAGUGGAAAGAAGCCUAUUGCUGCAGAGCCAGCUGCCACUAAGAAAGCCAUGUCUGGAAAAUCUGGUACCAACAAAAAGGGUGAUGGAGGAUGACAAACAACAAAAAUUUCUAAACCUAUGGAGCGUGAAGAUGUCGAGCCAACAGAAAUGAGUUUAUAGAGUUUUAGAGCAGAUUAGGAUCCUUUAUCCAAGCAGAGACAAUUACCCAACUAAAAAGUGUUGUGUGGAAAGAGCGGCUUGAAGAAUGAUGUCAUGAAAUACUUUCGAGAGGGUCUUCAUCGGAGGCUCUUAAGUGCUGACUUCAAAGAUCAAGUUGAUGGCAUUGAGAUGUUGCAGAAGGUUCUUUCAACAUAAAUUCUAGUUUCUGUUCUGUAACUUGAAAUUUUCUUUUAACCUUCGAUUAGUUUUUUUAUGUCAGCAUGCCGUGUGCUUAGCUAUCUGAAUUUAUCCAAUGAUAUUAUGAAAAAGAAAUGAGAGGUAUCAUAUUUGUUGAGUAUUCUCAAGACACUUGUUAUUAGAACAUUUGUUUAUUCAGUUUGUUUGUGGAAUUGCUAAAAUUACAAAUUGUUAUUGAUUUUCCCAUAUCGAGCUCUCUAAUGAUGUUACAACUAGUGCAUAUUUAAACUAUCUCUCUUGACCUUCUGUAAUUUUGAAAAAGUACUUGAAAUUAUUCCCGAGCUUCUGGAUAUGUUGAGAAAUGAGGGUUACACUAUGACAGAAGUAGAGGAAACCAUCUUUCUUCCUGGCUUGGUUGAGAAGGUCUAAUCCAGCUGAACAAAGUGGGGACUUAUCAAGACCCGUUGGCAUCCCAACAUUCAAUCAUUAUAGACUACCAAUGCCGCAGGCUUAGUCUGCUGUUGGGCUAAAAUCAUAGAAUAUGGUUCUCCUGAACAGGGUAGGGGGUAAAGAUGAGGAAUAUUUUUCAAUGGAAUGCUUUUUCAGAAGAUUAGGCUGAUGAAGGCAUGAAAGCUAACAGAUAUGAGUUUGGAAGAGAUUUGGAGCAGAUUAGGAUCCCUUAUUGAUUCAGAGACGAUUACUCAACUAAAAAGUGUUGUGUGGAAAGAGCGGCUUGAAGGUGAUGAUAUUUGGAUAUAUGUCAGGAAGCUCCGAGGGAGAACUAUGGCGUUUCUGAAAUCCACACAGAUAGACUACCAAUGCCGCAGACUUAGUCUGGUGUUGGGCUCACAGACUGGAAUGAAGCUUUAAAAAUCAUAGAAUAUGGUUCUCCUGAACAGGGUAGGGGGUAAUGAUGAGGAAUAUUUUUCAAUGGAAUGCUUUUCGGCAGAUUAGGCUGAUGAAGGCAUGAAAGCUAACAGAUAUGAGUUUGGAAGAGAUUUGGAGCAGAUUAGGAUCCCUUAUUGAUUCAGAGACGAUUACUCAACUAAAAAGUGUUGUGUGGAAAGAGCGGCUUGAAGGGAGAACUAUGGCGUUUCUGAAAUCCACACAGAUAGACUACCAAUGCCGCAGACUUAGUCUGGUGUUGGGCUCACAGACUGGAAUGAAGCUUUAAAAAUCAUAGAAUAUGGUUCUCCUGAACAGGGUAGGG